UACGUAGGGGGGCUAGCGUUGUCCGGAUUUAUUGGGCGUAAAGAGCGUGUAGGCGGCCAGGUAGGUCUGCUGUGAAAACUCGAGGCUCAACCUCGAGACGUCGGCGGAAACCAUCUGGCUAGAGUCCGGAAGAGGAGGAAUGGAAUUCCUGGUGUAGCGGUGAAAUGCGCAGAUAUCAGGAAGAACACCGAUGGCGAAGGCAGUUCUCUGGGACGGUACUGACGCUGAGACGCGAAAGCGUGGGGAGCGAACAGG
rnacentral:rRNA from 1 species